GACCUCAUAGGCAACUUUGUUUUCAAAAAAAACUGACAUGCUUGGCUCCUUGAGCCUGUCUGGGGUCUAUAGUGAUGAUACAUCCUACCUCAGUUGUUGGUCAGGCCCUGUUUUAUGACCAGCCACUCGUACCACAUCAAGUUAUAUGCAUGAGGAAAAAUAGGUUGUUUCAACUAUUAAAGCUACGUUUACACGCUGCGAUUUGUCGGGCCGAUUUUGCCAAAUAAUCGUUGCCCCUUCUUCGAC